rnacentral:rRNA from 1 species
CGCGUGAGGAACCUGCCUUUCAGAGGGGGACAACAGUUGGAAACGACUGCUAAUACCGCAUAACACAUAGGUGUCGCAUGGCAUUUAUGUCAAAGAUUUAUCGCUGAAAGAUGGCCUCGCGUCUGAUUAGCUAGUUGGUGAGGUAACGGCUCACCAAGGCGACGAUCAGUAGCCGGACUGAGAGGUUGGCCGGCCACAUUGGGACUGAGACACGGCCCAGACUCCUACGGGAGGCAGCAG